CUCAGCACGUCAGACGAGUGCUUCAGAGGUUGUUGGAGAAUGGACUUUUUGUCAAGGCGGAGAAAUGCAUUUUUCAUGCACAAUCCGUUCCAUUCCUAGGUUACAUCGUCUCGACUGAAGGUAUUCGCAUGGAUCCCGACAAGGUUAAGGCUGUGGUGGAUUGGCCAAGCCCAGAUUCCCGUAAGGCCCUACAGAGGUUUCUGGGAUUCGCCAAUUUCUACCGGCGUUUCGUUCGCAACUUUAGCCAGAUAGUCGCUCCUCUUACCGCCUUAACCUCUCCCAGAGUGACGUUCAGGUGGUCCGAUACAGCCGAGGCUGCAUUCGCCAAACUCAAGAGCCGCUUUGUUUCGGCUCCCAUCCUCAUAGCUCCCGAUCCCUCGCGUCAGUUCGUGGUGGAGGUGGACGCUUCAGAGGUGGGGGUAGGUGCGGUACUUUCCCAACGUUCCUCUUCUGACGACAAGAUGCACCCUUGCGCGUUCCUUUCCCAUCGGUUAUCACCUGCGGAACGCAACUACGACAUUGGCAACAGAGAGUUGUUGGCAGUGAAGUUAGCACUGGAGGAGUGGCGCCAUUGGUUAGAGGGUUCGGGGGUACCUUUAUAGUUUGGACCGAUCACAAGAAUUUGGAGUAUAUCAGAACCGCCAAGCGACUCAACUCCAGGCAGGCGCGGUGGGCACUCUUUUUCGGACGUUUUGACUUCUCUCUCUCGUAUCGCCCGGGUUCCAAGAAUGUCAAACCCGAUUCCCUUUCUCGCAUUUUUGACCAUUCCGAACGCCCAUCCACUCCCGAGUGCAUCCUACCCGGGACCCUAGUGGUCUCCACACUCACAUGGGAGGUUGAAUCGAGGGUCAAAACGGCCUUAGAGGGGGUCACGCCUCCGCCCGGUUGCCCGCCUAAUCGGUUGUUUGUGCCGGAGGGGUGUCGGUCCGAUGUUAUUCGGUGGGGGCACUGCUCCAACGUAGCGUGUCAUCCAGGAGUCAGCCGCACUAGCUUUUUGGUUAAGCAACGCUUUUGGUGGCCACUGAUGGCUCGUGACAUUCACAGUUUUGUCUUGGCUUGCUCGGUUUGUGCCACUGGGAAGACUUCUAAUCGACCCCCAGAUGGGUUACUCCAACCGCUGUCGGUCCCUUCGAGACCCUGGUCCCACAUCGCGCUAGAUUUUGUUACCGGCCUCCCGCCCUCCCAGGGCAAGACGGUUGUUUUGACCGUGGUGGACCGGUUCUCGAAGGCGGCUCAUUUUAUUCCCUUGCCUAAAUUACCAUCUGCCAAGGAGACAGCGGUAACUGUCGUGGAUCACGUCUUUCGCUUACAUGGCCUGCCGAUGGACGUAGUUUCUGACCGGGGCCCCAAUUUGUGUCCAAGUUUUGGCAAGAGUUUUGUAGGUUACUGGGAGCGAGUGUCAGCCUGUCUUCAGGGUUUCAUCCCCAGAGCAACGGUCAAACGGAGAGGGCCAACCAAGAUUUGGAGAGAGUGUUGCGAUGUUUGGUUUCUAAGAAUCCCUCUUCCUGGAGUCAACAACUCUCUAUGGUUGAGUACGCUCACAAUUCGUUACCAGUGGCAGCCACGGGUCUCUCUCCGUUUGAGUGUAGUUUAGGUUACCAGCCACCUAUCUUUCCCAGUACGGAGUCCGAGGUCACUGUUCCCUCCGCUCACGCUUUCAUCCAGAGGUGCCGUCACGCAUGGAGCAGAGCCCGUGAGACUCUUCUCCGGGUGGGGGCACGCACCAAGGCUAAGGCCGAUCGCCACCGGUCGAAGCCUCCGGUAUACGUCGUUGGCCAAAGAGUGUGGCUUUCUACUAAGAACAUUCCACUCCGAUCCGUUUCGAACAAGCUUGCCCCCAAAUUUAUCGGCCCGUUCAAAGUCACCAGGAUCAUUAGUCCGGUGGCGGUCCGGCUCAAGCUUCCUCCGGCGUAUAGGAGAAUUCAUCCUACCUUUCAUGUGUCUAAAAUAAAACCUGUGUUUCAGGCACGCAUUAACCCGCCGGUCCCGGUUCCCCCGCCGCCACGACUUGUUGAUGGGGAAACCACCUUUUCUGUCAAUCGUAUUUUGGACUCUAGAAGGAGGGGACGCGGAUUCCAGUACCUGGUGGACUGGGAGGGUUACGGCCCGGAGGAGAGAAGUUGGGUACCUGCUAGGGACAUUCUGGAUCACUCCCUUAUCGAUGAUUUCAAUCGACAGUGUUUGUGUGGGCGUGGUUCCCAAUCUCGGCCUGAUUGUCUGCGCCAGCUGGAACCACUUAUCUUCCCUUUAUAUGUUCUGUUACCAGUGUUUCUUGUUGUCAGAUCGUUGUUUCUUCUCUGAGGUUGUGUCGUGUGUCCGUGCUCUUCUCUUGUGUGGAUUAUCUGCUGUGCUCCUUCCUACUCAUCCGGACACACUCCCCUGGUUUUCUCAGCACGUUAUCAUCGGAAGAUGCGCCCGAGUUCCUGGGUCGGAUUCCUUCUGAGUACAGUCUGUCUGUCAUGUUGCUGCUGUGAACUACAUUCAUUAAACCAUCGUUGCUUGCAUCUUG